ensembl:misc_RNA Metazoa_SRP Metazoan signal recognition particle RNA
GCCAGGUGCGGUGGCUCGCGCCUGUAAUCCCAGCACUUUGGGAGGCCGAGGCAGGUGGAUUGCUUGAGGCCAGGAGUUCUAGACCAGCCUGGCCAACAUGGCAAAACCCCGUCUCUA